UGUUGAGAAUUGUGGUAACAUUAGUUAAUUAGGAUAAUAUAUAUUUAGUUAUUAAGAACUGUCAAUCAAAUAAUGCAUGCGUCAUAAGUUAAUUAAGUAGAGUAUCAAAUUUAAUAUAAGGAGUGAUUAAGGGAUAGCGUAACUGUUGAGACUGUGAUUUUAGAGCUAGUGAUUUGUAAAGUGAUUUAGAGAAAAACCCAAACUAUUGUGACUGUGUUGGCUUAGCAUUCAGCCUCUAACGGCAUUCCCG